ACGGAAGGCAGCAGUCGGGAAUAUUGCGCAAUGGAGGAAACUCUGACGCAGUGACGCCGCGUAUAGGAAGAAGGUUUUCGGAUUGUAAACUAUUGUCAUUAGGGAAGAAACAAGACAGUACCUAAGGAGGAAGCCCCGGCUAACUAUGUGCCAGCAGCCGCGGUAAUACAUAGGGGGCAAGCGUUAUCCGGAAUUAUUGGGUGUAAAGGGUGCGUAGACGGGAGUAUAAGUUAGUUGUGAAAUCCCUCGGCUCAACUGAGGAACUGCAACUAAAACUGUACUUCUUGAGUGUCGGAGAGGAAAGCGGAAUUCCUAGUGUAGCGGUGAAAUGCGUAGAUAUUAGGAGGAACACCAGUGGCGAAGGCGGCUUUCUGGACGAUAACUGACGUUGAGGCACGAAAGUGUGGGGAGCAAACAGGAUUAGAUACCCUGGUA
rnacentral:rRNA from 1 species